CACGUAGGGUGCGAGCGUUAAUCGGAAUUACUGGGCGUAAAGCGUGCGCAGGCGGUUCGUUAUGUCCGAUGUGAAAGCCCCGAGCUUAACUUGGGAAUGGCAUUGGAAACUGGCGGGCUGGAGUGCGGCAGAGGGGGGUGGAAUUCCACGUGUAGCAGUGAAAUGCGUAGAGAUGUGGAGGAACACCGAUGGCGAAGGCAGCCCCCUGGGCCGACACUGACGCUCAGGCACGAAAGCGUGGGGAGCAAACAGG
rnacentral:rRNA from 1 species